rnacentral:rRNA from 1 species
UGGGGAAUAUUGCGCAAUGGGCGAAAGCCUGACGCAGCGACGCCGCGUGAGGGAUGAAGGUUUUCGGAUCGUAAACCUCUGUCAGAAGGGAAGAAACCGCACUGUGCUAAUCAGCAGUGCCUUGACGGUACCUUCAAAGGAAGCACCGGCUAACUCCGUGCCAGCAGCCGCGGUAAUACGGAGGGUGCAAGCGUUAAUCGGAAUUACUGGGCGUAAAGCGCACGUAGGCUGCUUUGUAAGUCAGGGGUGAAAUCCCACGGCUCAACCGUGGAACUGCCUUUGAUACUGGUUAGCUUGAAUCCGGGAGAGGGUGGCGGAAUUCCAGGUGUAGGGGUGAAAUCCGUAGAUAUCUGGAGGAACAUCAGUGGCGAAGGCGGCCACCUGGACCGGUAUUGACGCUGAGGUGCGAAAGCGUGGGGAGCAAACAGG